rnacentral:rRNA from 1 species
AGAGUUUGAUCAUGGCUCAGAACGUACGCUGGCGGCACGCCUAACACAUGCAAGUCGAACGAAGUAGCAAUACUUAGUGGCAGACGGGUGAGUAACAUGUGGGUAUCUGCCCUUUGGCCUGGAAUAACACGAGGAAACUUGUGCUAAUACCGGAUAAGUCUUUACGGAGAAAGCUUUAUGCACCAUUGGAUGAGCCCGCACUUGAUUAGUUUGUUGGUGGGGUAAUGGCCUACCAAGACUUUGAUCAAUAGCUGAUUUGAGAGGAUGAUCAGCCACAUUGGGACUGAGACACGGCCCAAACUCCUACGGGAGGCAGCAGUGGGGAAUCUUGCACAAUGGAGGAAACUCUGAUGCAGCGAUGCCGCGUGAGUGAAGAAGGCCUUUGGGUUGUAAAGCUCUUUCGUCGGGGAAGAAAAUGACUGUACCCGAAUAAGAAGGUCCGGCUAACUUCGUGCCAGCAGCCGCGGUAAUACGAAGGGACCUAGCGUAGUUCGGAAUUACUGGGCUUAAAGAGUUCGUAGGUGGUUGAAAAAGUUGGUGGUGAAAUCCCAGAGCUUAACUCUGGAACUGCCAUCAAAACUUUUCAGCUAGAGUUUGAUAGAGGAAAGCAGAAUUUCUAGUGUAGAGGUGAAAUUCGUAGAUAUUAGAAAGAAUACCGAUUGCGAAGGCAGCUUUCUGGAUCAUUACUGACACUGAGGAACGAAAGCAUGGGUAGCGAAGAGGAUUAGAUACCCUCGUAGUCCAUGCCGUAAACGAUGUGUGUUAGACGUUGGAAAUUUAUUUUCAGUGUCGCAGCGAAAGCGAUAAACACACCGCCUGGGGAGUACGACCGCAAGGUUAAAACUCAAAUGAAUUGACGGGGACCCGCACAAGUAGUGGAGCAUGUGGUUUAAUUCGAAGAUACGCGCAGAACCUUACCAACACUUGACAUGUUCGUCGCGACUUUAAGAGAUUAAAGUUUUCGGUUCGGCCGGACGAAACACAGGUGCUGCAUGGCUGUCGUCAGCUCGUGUCGUGAGAUGUUGGGUUAAGUCCCGCAACGAGCGCAACCCUCACUUUUAGUUGCCAUCAUUAAGUUGGGCACUCUGAAAGAACUGCCAGUGAUAAGCUGGAGGAAGGUGGGGAUGACGUCAAGUCCUCAUGGCCCUUACGUGUUGGGCUACACACGUGCUACAAUGGUAUUUACAACAGGAAGCGAAACAGCGAUGUUAAGCAAAUCCUUAAAAGAUACCUCAGUUCGGAUUGCACUCUGCAACUCGAGUGCAUGAAGCUGGAAUUACUAGUAAUCGUGGAUCAGCGUGCCACGGUGAAUGCGUUCCCGGGUCUUGUACACACCGCCCGUCACACCAUGGGAGUUGGUUCUACCUUAAGGCAAGGCAUAAAACCCUUGACCACGGUAUAGUCAGCGACUGGGGUGAAGUCGUAACAAGGUAGCCGUA